GGAUAUGAACUGGAGCAAUAAAGGAUUUUCUGAAAAUCCUUGUAGAAUAAAAGUCACAUUUUUCUUAAUCCAUAUGUCCAAGAAGUGUACUUGCUUGUUGUCAUUUUGUUCCAACUCCAAUGUGAUUCCAUAAUUAUCAUCAUUGACAACAUUAAUGAACUCCUGGAUGGGCUACUGUUUAUUGAGGAUAAGUAAGAUGUCAUCAACAUAGCAGGCAUUAAUGUUUUCCAAUACAACUUCUUCAGUUUUCUUAGCUAUAAUCUCUGCUAAGAAACCUGCGAGGGGGGAACCCAUUGUGUGGAGGUAGAGAAUUCCAGGAGAAAUUAUCUACCUUUUGAUUUUGAAAGAUGUACAACCCCUGUACUGCCGUUAGCGACAAAUUCAAGUGUCCCAAAAAAAAGAGAAAACCGCACCCAGUGUAUUGUCACGACACUAAGGAAAUAUAGGAACAGACACAAGCAUGCCUUUAAACAUCAAAGUCCAAAAUAUUAGCACAAAAAGCAGUGGAAAUCAUAAACUUUUAUUAAACGAAAACGUUUUCAGUACAAAUCAUCAUCAUCAAUCAACAGUACAUGCCUUUAGAUAUAUGUAUUUAAAUUCCAAAUACAAUUGGGACAUAAAACUAAUACUAUACACAUAUAGGUACAAUUUACACCGUAAA
rnacentral:lncRNA from 1 species